UGAUUUACCUCUGUUAUAAAUCCUCGAGUACUGUGUGUGUCAGCAUACCGAUCCAGGGAUGACACUUAAGCACAGAGACUUGAUCCAUUCGUGUCGGGUCGCUACACUCGAUUAACAAAUUCUUUUUUGAUAUGUUUGCAAUUAGUCAAUCAUCUUUUCCACAGGAAUAAAAUUGAUGAUACUCAAUUAACAAAUUCUUUUUUGAUAUGUUUGUAAUCAGUCAAUCAUCUUUUCCACAGGAAUAAAAUUGAUGAUACUCAAUUAAUAAAUUCUUUUUUGAUAUGUUUGUGACCAGUCAAUCAUUUAGAUACAAUGAGUCUGGACCUUGUGGCCACUCCUCCCUAGACAACUUGUUCUCUUCCUUCGGCUUGCUUUCCAGAGGGUCUUCACAGCUUCAGUUAUAGUCUAUAUGACAUACGAAAGUUGCAGACAAAUCGAUUAAAAUUAUGUGCUAAGCCUCAGGCUCCUUUGCCACUGUGCCAGCUUGUUUAUAUUAGAGGGUGGAUCAAAGGGGCGACUGGUACUUUCCCUUACAGCAGCUGGUGAAAAGCAAAGGAUUUUCUCAACCAAUGAAGCUUUCUUGGUGGUGUCUAGGUUAUGAAUUCCUACGAUUUCAGGUGUGCUACAAUCCAGGAAUGCAGCAGGCCAGAACAAUGGACAUUGAUGGUACUAUGAGUGUCUAGGUAUUGGCAUAUUGUGGUAAGGUACCGCUGACUCUAUGAGGUGUGUAGAAUCUGGAUCUAUAAAUGCGCUAGGUUGCCUUGGGGGGCAAAUGUUGCAAACCGGUCAAGGUUAAUUAUAUUUCUUCUUUGCCAUUUGUUUGGAUAAUCCUCUCUGGCAAGAUCACCUAGGACGAUAUAAUCUGCUAUUUACUUUCUAUAUGGUUCAGCAUGAGCAGAUCACUUUAGGAGAAUAUAAUCAUCUACCCAUGUGAUAUUUACUUCCUAUGCGUUUCAGCCUGUUCAAACUCUGUACAAGUGCCCAAAUGGACAAAUUUUGAUUUGGUGACUUGGUGUUUAACUGUUCUUAUUGAAUAUUGGAUCCUGGCCCUUAUGUUAUCGACCUGUAGUAUGUUUCUAGCUAGGUGUCUAUUGCUUCUCUUAAGGUCACAGUAGUUUGAUUAACAUUAUAUAUAUAACAAUUUCAUUUGGAUCACACAACAUUCUUUUUCUUGAAAAAUCACAUGGUUUAUUGGACUUGAAUUAGCAGUGUGGUUCAUGUGAUAUCCCCAACCCUGAGUACUUUGAGCUUGACAAGCAUGACUUUGAUCUGAUUGCUGCUAUUGGAAUUGAGAUCUGGACAAUGCAGGAUGGAAUCCUUUACGGCAAGAUUCUUAUUACCAAUGAUUACAAGGUAGCCACCUCUAUCCUGGAGAAGACAUGGAAGCCCAAAUUUGAUGUUGAGAAGGAAAAAAGUAGAUGGCUGAACAGUGGAACAUCUAGCCUCCCACUUGGCAAGGUGCAACAGCCUUCUUGUUUUCUCUUUCCCAAGAGCCCAUCGUGGAUCAUCAGUAGGUUCGAGCUGAUGAUCUAGAUCGAGUAGGUCAAAGGGACUUGCCGGCAACACUCCUCUUUGAGCUGGUAUAUCGUUCAUCUCAGGUCUUAAAAGAGCAGAAAAUCUUUGAACAAGGGGUGGAUGGGGGUACACGGUUUGGUCCCCUGUGCAGAAUAAAACAGUUAUAUGAUACAUAGGCUACAAUUUUCAGAACUGAAACACGGGUAGGUUCCAGUUAUGAUUCCGAUGUACAACUCUGAUUAGUAUUUAUUCCCACCGGCUGUAUAUACUGCCUAUAAUCAACAUACCUAUUUUGUGGAAUUUUGAUCAAAUUUGUAAUGCAUGGCCUGUCAGCUUAUAUUGUCUAUCUUGUUCAUCUGUGAGCCCAACUAAACUAAUUCCGUCAUUUGUAUUUGAUUGAAAAAUAGCAUGAGCUUACGAGUUGAUUUCACAUAUUUAUUUGACAAGCCCGGUUGUAUUUGGCAACCUCUUGCUUAAUUUUCAAUUUGGCCGGCCUAUUGUUUAGUAGGUCUAAUAUCCCACGCAAUUUGUACGAGGACCAAAGGAUUAUUGUAGUCUGGAUGUGUGCAUCCUCUUUAACUACCAGUCUAUUAUGAUAACUGACAAUAAAUUAUUAUGGCAUCCAAGGAUUUGUACCCUGACUAUAAUGCUUUGCCAUCACCUUAGAUUAUGAGUUUGAUAUUUUAGGAAUCGUGUUACUUAGAACAACUUGAUAAGGUUAUCUGAAAACCAAGAUUACACACACCCUGAGUUUUUGGAUAGACAUGAGCAAGUUGAUUAUGAUGUUAUCUUUUCUGCAUCGCAUGGACGCCCUGCACUGCCCCCACCAGGAUUGCGCUGCCUUGCCCUGCCUGAGAUCACCGCCGGCUACGUCGCUACGCUCCUCAUGGCCAGAAGGCAGAAGCAGCAGCAGUAGGCGCGGCCGGAGAUCCCGGCGCCGCCCGCCGAGAAGCCUGCAACUGAUGACGAUAGGAGCGAGGACAUCGCCAGCCCGGACACCCAGCUCACCUUCCCCGAGGACGAUGAGCAUGACGAGGCAGCGACGAUGGACGGCGAAGCCAAGGCCAGCGUGCAGGACAAGGUGAGCCGCCAGGCCGCGAGAUCGGUGGGGAAGAACGACAUGGAGCAGCUGCCAUAGCUUAGGCUAGGGCUUAGGCGCGCCGGACGAAAGCGGUGCUACCCGCAGUAGCUCUCGCCUUGCCGAUGGUGGUGGAGACGGCCUCGAACGGCAGACCGCAUCUCACCAUGUGUGAAUCAUCUACAUGAGGAGCGGCGGCGCACAAGGAAGUACUGGAGAAUGGGGAAAGAUAAAGGAAGAGCCCUCACGGCGAAGCACAAGGGAGUACUAUUUUUUAGUAGAACACAACAUAGCACUAGAGAAGGUGUAUGAAGAUGAGUUAGUGAGUCCAUCUGUGUACGUUAACUAUUUUGUUUGGGCCAAGCCCAAAUAGGUAAAAAAAACUCUUCUCAACCAAA